rnacentral:lncRNA from 1 species
AGUCGUCGCUUUCGGUUUUUAAUUUCCUUCCCCAUUUUUUUUCUUUACUUUUUUAUAAUGAGACAGGGGUCUCAUUAUGUUGCCCAGGCUGGUCUUGGACUCCUGAGCUCUAGCGAUCCUCCCGCCUCUGCCUCCCAAACUGUUGGGAUUACAGGCGUGAGCCACUGCGCCUGGCCUAUUUCUUUCCCUUUUUGUCUCCUUUCAAUUUUUUUUUUUAAACAAAAAGAGCAGUCUCUUUGAUCCAGAGCUUCACUGGAGGGUGAGGCUGUGGAUCCCAGGGUCCUGCGAGAAAAGCAAGUUGAUUGAAGGAAAAAUCUGUGGUCCGGGGAGAUGUUCCAAAUCCUGGAGGUGGAGAGGAAUGAAUGACGUUUGUGGCUUGCAGAUCAACUCCCCGCAGCGGGCGUGACGUUGUCACAGCCAAAAUUGUCCUCCACGCGCUGCUACGGUGAGUCAGGGGGAGAGGGGCCCCUCUGGGCAGACGGCAAAAGCCAUUUUUGAGUGUACAAGGAGGCAUUUUUCUGACAGCAUUUCCUGUCGGUACCCUCCUAUCUAGGGGCAAAAGUGUCACUGGGGCUUUCUGGGGCCUUUGGUGUGGGUCUUAGUGACAAAGUUCAGUGGCAAUCUGGCAUUCCCCUAGUGGAAUUGUCACUCCCACGACAGCCUCUCAUGCCCAGCUUCUGUCCGGCCCGAGGAGCCAGCUCUGGGCUGCCUGCUAUCCACGAGGUCAGGCGGCCCUGACAUUGGCAAGGAGAUUGACACCCACACUCUGUGCUUCCUUUGAAACAGAGUUGUUAAAAUUCCAGGCCAGACAAAUGUCCAAUAGGCCUAUGAAAAGAUACUCAAAGUCACCAAUCAUUAGGGAAAUGCAAAUCAAAACCACAGGCCAGGUGCGGUGGCUCACGCCUGUAAUUCCAGCACUUUGGGAGGCCGAGGUGGGAGGAUCACUUGAGGCCAGGAGUUUGAGACCAGCCUGGGCAACAUAGCAAGACUCCAUCUCUAUAAAUAAAUGAAUAAACAAAUAAAAACCACAGUGAGAUACUACCUAACACCCAUUAGGAUGGCUACUAUCAAAAAAACAGAAAAUAGGUUAGAAGUGGUAGCUCACAACUGUUAUCCCAAUGCUUUGGGAGGCCAAGGAGAGAGGAUCAGUUGGGCCAGGAGUUCAAGACCAGCCUGGGCAACAAAGGAAGACUUCAUUUCUAAAAAUAUUUAAAAAUUAGCUGAGCAUGGUGGCAUGCACCUGUAGUCCCAACUACUUGGGAGGCCGAGGCAAGAGGAUCGCUUGAUCCCAGGAGGUCAAGGCUGCAGUGAGCUAUGAUUGCACCAUUGCACUCCAGCCUGGGCAACAGAGUGAGACCCUGUCCAAAAAAAAAAAAAAAAAAAAGCAAAACAAAACAAAACCCCAUAAAUUGAAACCAUUGUGGGCUGCUGGUGACAAUGUAAAAUGGUGCAGCCACUGUGGAAAACAGUAUGGAGAGUCCUAAAAAAAUUAAACAUAGAGGCCAGGCAUGGUGGCUCAUGCCUGUAAUCCCAGCACUUUGAGAGGCCGAGGUGGGUGGACCAUUUGAGGUCAGGAGUUUGAGACCAGCCUGGACAACAAUACAAAGAUUAGCCGGGUGUGGUGGCAGCUGCCUCUAAUCCCAGCUACUCGAGAGGCUGAGGCAGGAGAAUCGCUUGAACCCGGGAGGUGGAGGUUGCAGUGAGCGGAGA